AAAUGGCGCCCGACGAUAGCGGUGUUUCUAAAUCUACUCGAGUAUUUAAAUUGUGAAUUAAAACAUGUCCACCCGAAGCAAUCUAAGAAAAAUAUUUCGGAUAAGGCUGUACUAGCAACAUUCGUAUCUUCGAUUUUACAAACAGCCGUUUAGUUCUAAACGAAUCGUUCGAAAAGUCUAACGAAACGAGAAUAACGAUGACGUCAUUCUCGUUUAACUCGUUCGACUUUACGAACGUGCCCUAUAUUUAUAUAUAUUUACCGCGUCCCGGCCCCACGCGGCGAAAGAAAAAGUAUUUUCUGUCCCGACCGUGGCGAAAAUAAGUUUUAAGGUUUUUUUUUUACUCUCGAGUCGGGGUGGUCGGAAAAGGCGGAGAUUGGCAAAAAAAAAAAACUCGGAGAUCAAAUUUGACGCGGUUCCCGCGUUUUCCCGGUUACGUAUUCGUAAACGUAUUCUUAAUCGUACCCGCGGCCGUUCCCGGCGCCGCAAUGGGAGAGUGUUUGGAGCCAACGAACUUUGGCGUAAUAAACGUUGCGUCGCCCUCCGCGAAAAUGUCCGAGAACGGUGACGAAACCGUAAGUCUCGCCGAUCGAAAUCGUUCCGUGUCUUUUAAAACCGUUUUCGAACCGGUCCGAGUUUACUUUCGUCUUCCCGCAUGUAAUUCCGCCGUCCGCGGACCGGUGGAAAAAAUCCGAUUAAAAAUCGAAACCGGCAUCUAUAGUAAAGCUUAAUUUAAAAUGUUACGUACGCGUUUAAAUUUUAUAAAGGUUUUAGUUUUAACGAAACAAAGGCCACCUAAUGUUUACCGUAAAACCGUCCGAUUUGUCCUUUAUUUUCUCCGAAAGAUACCGCGGCCGUAGUUAUACCUCUGUUAUUAAUUGGUAUUAGUUAGCUCCGACCGGGAAUGGACCGAGUUACAAACCGAGUGGAAUCUAUAAACGUUUAUUUUUCACCUACCGCGACAAAUUUUGGGAACUGGUUUAGUUAAAUAAUAACGUCCUCGACGCGUAAUUUAACCGUAAACCGCUAUCCACCGGUUUCUUUACGUCGUCCUUCGAGUAUUAAGUAAAAAAAAAACCCGAAUACCGAGCAAAAUGUAUUUAAAAUUAAGUAAACUCCGAUAAAUAAUCCCGUACGUUAAAUGUAACGAAUGGCGCGAAAUUAAAACGAGUAAAUACGAAAUGGGAUUUAAGAUAAUUAUAUCGCGCACCGCGUGUAAAAAUUUAAAAGUUGUCGAUGGAAUAAUUAUACCGUAGCGAUAAACGUUUAUUUUUGUAUUUUACUGGUUUGUUUGUUACAUCUGGAAGCGCUUCGGAAUGUAAAGUUGCGGUUACUCGUUUGCCGGAAGAGACCGAAUGGCUUUCUUCUUUAUUCUAAUAAAUUUAAUACGUCUUUCUCAUUAAACAACACUCGUUUCUUCUAAGCAAUAAUAAAAAAUAAUACACGUUUAUCGACGAUAAAAGGAAACGUGCGAAAUAAAGGUUUCGAUACAUUUUAAAAAUUUUAUUAAAUUACGUAAAAAUGGUGAUAAGAUGAAUUAUCGACUUCUCCCAGUAAAAACAAACGUAAAAUAAUAAAAAGUCGCCGGUUUCGACGAUAAUGUUUACGGCUCGGUAAUAAAAACCUAAAACGAUAAACGACCGUACGAUUUGUCUAGCAAUUAUUUUUUUCCAAAAUUCGUGUUUAAUACGGUUUCGAUGGGCGUCCUUCUAUAUUUUUACUCGAAAUCGUUCGAAUUAAGAACGACAGAAAUCUGAUUUGAUAAUUUAAAACAAUAUUUCUCGCGACAUUAAUUAUUCUACUCGUCGAACAAACUUUUUUCUUUGUUAUUUCUUCGACCGAACCUUGCGGCGUGUCGUCGUCUCGUUAGCAGUUUUUUUAGAAAGAUCGUCUUAGUCGGCGCCAUUACUUCUAUAUUCUUAUAUUUAAAUUUCCGAAAUUUCGCGAGAAAGUUUGCUUAUAAGGGAGAUCGAUGCUAUUAAAUUUUGGUGGUUAAGGGUCGAGGGGCUGGAGAGAUAACGGGGGUCGAGUGUAUUCCCGCUUAAUGACGAUUUUACCGGCUAUUAGCAUUUGCAAUUUUUUUAUAAAACCCGUUCCUACUCUCAAAAUUCGGCUUUAAAAAUAUAAAAUAUGUUUUUAAUUUAAUAAAUUAUAAUAACGGAUGGCACCACCAAAAUUUUAAAUGUUGCCGGGAAAGUCGAGCGACUCGUCGCCGAUUUAUUUUUCUUCGGUUUUAUUAUUUGCCAUGCAUGGGUAUAAUUCCCCAAAUUCUAAGCUCCUAAUUUUAUCGACUUCUGUUUUAAUACGGCAGUCUUUGGUAACUGUUUACAAGUGUGUACUAAAUAAAGUUAUUCUAUCGAGGAUUGCUACGCCGUUGACGUCCGGCUAAGUUUCGUAUAUGUUCGCGUAUAAAAUUGAUACAAAUUUUUAUUAUAUAAAUUAUAUAAAGUAAUCUUUAUAAAAUUCGGUCGGAGUUGCUUUUAAGGAAACUCCCUAAUUCUUGUUUGUUUGCCGUUUGUCUCGAGUGUCGACUCGCUCCUAAAAUGUUUGCGCCACGUCUCGUUAAGUUUGGGUACGGAAUGUACCGAUUCGAAAUACAACGAUGGUUUACUGGUUAAUAUUGACUCCUAAUUCGAUGACCAAAAACACCACGAAACAAACGCUCGCUUGAAAAGCCAACGUUUUCCUUCGUUUAUAAAGAAAAUUGUCGGGCCGGAGUGAAAGAUGGAACUGCACGAUUUUUGAAUGGUUCGGAACUUCUGUGCUGCCGCUGCCGAUUGGAAGAUAAGCCAUCGCAUCUACGUCGUAUAUAUAAUCCGGUAGGAAUUAAUAACGUAAAUCUUGCAAUUCCUACAGGAUUAUAUAUACGUGUUCGUCUAUCGGCAGUGGCGACGUGGAAGUUUCAAACCGUCCGGAAAUCGUGGGAUUCCGUAUUAGAACUCCAGCCUGAUGAUUUCCUUUACAAACGGAUGAAAACAUUUGCUUUUCGAGCCAGUGGUUUUUUUUUAAGUUAGGAGUUUUAUUAAUAUACUGAUUUUGAUUAGUUGAUUUAUAUUGCCUCUAAUUUUCCUCGGCUGCAAUAUAGCCUAUGAUUUUGUGGAUCGUAAAACAAAAACUGCACGCCUAUAAACUGGAACUGUAUUACUCAAAGAAAUAACAUCUAAACACAAUUUUUCGGCCGCAAUUCAUUGGCUCUCGUUGGGAACAAAUACAAAAAAUCAAUUGAAUAUUGUUGCGUUCUAAUUUUUUAAAACUUUCAAAAACAUGUUCGAAUGAGACCGUGAUGCGGAGUUUACGUCAUAAAUAAAAUGAGCAAUUUUUUUACAAUGUAUAAUGUUAAAAAUGAAAUUAUUAAUAAAAUUAAAUUUUAUGGCAGUCUAAAUAAUAUUUCCAGGCUUGUGUUACUGGAAUGUAGUCUGUGUUGAUGCGAUUUAUGUUCUUGUCGGCUCUGUAAAUCUCUAAGGCCUCCGUCGAUCUCGUGUCCUGUCGGUCGGAGACCCCGCGCACGAGGGUGGUCUCGUCCCGACGGGGAGAAACCCCCGGUUCGGUGGCGUAACGGGCCCGAGCGGUAUUAACGUUUUCCUUUGUUACGUCGUAUCCGUGUUUGCGUAACCUGGCUCGAAGAGGUCCGUAUUUGGAUCCGAUGUAUAUCUUCUAACUGUCGUAAGACGAGUUCGCAAAGAUUCCCAAAAUGUAGGUGCGCGAGCUCCAAUAUCUGGGAAUGGAAAGUCUGAGCAUUAGGGGUAGUGCUGAGAAAAAGUUCUUAAAGCGCAAAAACAUGGCUCUAAACGAAUGAAGGGAAACGUGAAUACAAAAUCAAACAUUUCCAUUUAAAUUAAUAUUCAAAAGUUUGGAGAGAAGUGCGCGAAUUGGAGACCGCACGGUUUCCAAUUCGCACACUUCUAACCACCAGCUUAAUACAUAUACCUAUACAGGUAUAUGUGCUAAGCUGAUGGUUUACGAGUGAUGGAUCCAUUUUUCUAAUAAGAAUGUUGGGGAUCUGGGUUUAUUGAUUGUGCGGCAUAAUUGUCUAUCGGGUUUGUGUGUUUUAGCAAAAGCAAAAAGACUGGGAUUUUGGGGGAGCUAACUGUUGUAUGCCGAAGGUCUAAUGCCUCUGCUAGACCAGUGUGUGUAAACUUACCAAAAUGACUUUGUAGUUUCGUUAUAUAAGAGGCGUCAGAGAGCUGACAUUGUGUGUCUACUGUAUAUUGUUGUAAUAGAUCGACAUAAGUGGCCCUAUUUGUGAUUACAAUUGCUUUGCUUUUAUCAGCCUUCACCAAUGUGAUGUCGUUGGAUCUGAGCCAACUUUUACUGAACUUGGAUGUGAUGUAGUUUCAGAAUUUAUAAACUUCAGACUCCAGUAUGUGUUCUUCAAUUGCAAAUAGGAGAAAACACAGCAUUUCAAACACUAAAGACAGUACAGAUGAUGCAAGAGCAUCAGGCUUUUACCAUAUCCCAUUACAAGAUGGAUGGUUUAACAGGAGACUGAUGUUUGUUUUUCAAGGAUUGGUUAUUGUAGUUUCACGGUAUUGAAUUUGCUUCUUUUAAAGGUAAUGAAAAUAAAGACAGAACAAUUACUUAUUGAGUCAUUCAGCAAAUGCAUUGUUUUUUGUAAAUAACAGUAAAGCAGAGGAAUACCAGAAAUUAAAUUUUGAAUUAGCCAGAAUGGCCGAUAUUAGAAGACUUCAAGAAAUUUAAGAAUUAGUCAUCAAUAAUAUGGUUACAAGAUGAAUUUUUAAGUCUGCAAAAAGAAAUGAAAUUGACACUAGAAGAAAACAAGGCAAUUAAUAAUAAAAGUGUAGAAGCCAUCGAAAAAGCUAACAAAAUGGUUCAAAAGCAGCAGAAAGAAAUUGAAGAAUUAAAAAUGAAAGUAAGUGAUGAAUCAA